AUUUAACUUGCUGCACAUCCAGGAAAACUCGCGGCCAGCUGCAAAGAAAGUAGAACACACAGGCAUCCCCACACGCAUCUAGAUUGACUCACUCAUGCUGAGGUUACGAUCAAGUUCAUGCCACCAUGGAUUCCUGCCCCAGAUCCCCGCGAAAAGUAACCACGCGUCUCCUACCCCUUUGCCAGAGUGUCUGAGAACUCUUAUCCCAGUUGGAGAAGGCUGUGACCCGAGUGAAGACUUCUCUUCUCUGGCACGCUGCCCCACUGCAGGACCUACACGGAACGGGUAGGUCAAUGCCAUUCCGGUGUGAUUUAAGGCAGGCUCACCUUGCAGCCCCCAAUUAGCCUUCUUACCUCGUUCGCCACGGUCCUGUGAGAUUCACACAGGAAAGACCCCUGUUAA
rnacentral:lncRNA from 1 species